AGGACCCGUCUUGAAACACGGACCAAGGAGUCUAACAUGUGCGCGAGUCAUUGGGACUUGUAAAGCCUAAAGGCGCAAUGAAAGUGAAGGUCUGCCCAGCGCAGACCUAGGGAGGAUGGCUCGCGUCACGAUGCGAGCCCGCACUCCCGGGGCGUCUCGUGCUCAUUGCGAGCAGAGGCGCACCCAGAGCGUACACGUUGGGACCCGAAAGAUGGUGAACUAUGCCUGGUCAGGACGAAGUCAGGGGAAACCCUGAUGGAGGUCCGUAGCGAUUCUGACGUGCAAAUCUAUCGUCGGAACUGGGUAUAGGGGCGAAAGACUAAUCGAACCAUCUAGUAGCUGGUUCCCUCCGAAGUUUCCCUCAGGAUAGCUGGCACUCGCUUGAGCGAGUCUCAUCUGGUAAAGCGAAUGAUUAGAGGCCUUGGGGCCGAAACGACCUCAACCUAUUCUCAAACUUUAAAUGGGUGAGAUCUCUGGCUUGCUUGAACGUUGAAGCCACGAGAUGCAAUCACAUUGCAAUGGAUCAGAGUGCCAAGUGGGCCAAUUUUGGUAAGCAGAACUGGCGCUGUGGG
rnacentral:rRNA from 1 species